AUUGAACGCUGGCGGCAUGCCUAACACAUGCAAGUCGAGCGGAGUGGCGGACGGGUGAGUAAUGUCUAGGAAUCUGCCUGGUAGCGGGGGAUAACGUCCGGAAACGGUCGCUAAUACCGCAUACUAUCAGAUGAGCCUAGGUCGGAUUAGCUAGUUGGUGGGGUAACGGCCUACCAAGGCGACGAUCCGUAACUGGUCUGAGAGGAUGAUCAGUCACACUGGGACUGAGACACGGUCCAGACUCCUACGGGAGGCAGCAGUGGGGAAUAUUGGACAAUGGGCGAAAGCCUGAUACAGCCAUGCCGCGUGUGUGAAGAAGGUCUUCGGGUUGUAAAGCACUUUAAGUUGGGAGGCGUUACCAGCAGAAUAAGCACCGGCUAACUACGUGCCAGCAGCCGCGGUAAUAC
rnacentral:rRNA from 1 species